AUACGUAGGGGGCUAGCGUUAUCCGGAAUUACUGGGCGUAAAGGGCGCGUAGGCGGCGCUUCAAGUCGUCUGUCAAAUGGGAGGGCUUACCCGUUUUUCGCAGACGAAACUGGCGAGCUUGAGAAGCAGAGAGGCAAACAGAAUUACUGGAGUAGCGGUGAAAUGCGUAGAUAUCAGGAAGAAUACCAGUGGCGAAGGCGGUUUGCUGGCUGCAUACUGACGCUGAAUCGCGAAAGCCAGGGGAGCGAACGGCAUUAGAUACCCCGGUAGUCCUGGCCGUAAACGAUGAAUACUAGGUGUAGGGGGUAUCGACUCCCUCUGUGCCGCAGUUAACACAAUAAGUAUUCCGCCUGGGGAGUACGGCCGCAAGGUUGUAACUCAAAUGAAUUGACGGGG
rnacentral:rRNA from 1 species